rnacentral:lncRNA from 10 species
GCACUCCAGCCUGGGUGACAGAGCGAGACUCCAUCUCAAAAAAUAAUAAUAAUAAUUAAAAUAUUUAUAAGUAAUAAUAGAUGCCAUAAAGUUGAAAGAAAAACUAUAAGCCAGGAGUCAACAUUUGCAACAUACAUGGAAAAAUAUGAAUAUCCUUAAUAUAUAAAGAACUUAUAAAUCAAUAAUAAGUAACCAAACAGAAUUAUGAACCCCAAAUGAAAUAGAAAAAAGGACACAGAUAAUUCAUAGAAGUAUAAAUGACCAAGAUAUUGAAAAGAUGCUCAGUGUCACUAAGGAUCAAGAAAAAAGCAAAAGAAUAAACUAUCAUUUUUCAUACGUCUCAUUGGUGAAUAUUAUAACAUAACAGACUGCAUUGGUGAGAACAUGGAGGUAGUGGGAAAUUUUUUUUUUUUUUGAGACAGGAUCUCACUGUGUCACCCAGGCUGGAGUGCAGUGGCAUGAUCAGGGUUCACUGCAGCCUCAACUUCCCUGGGCUCAAGUGAUCCUCCAAAGUAGCUGGGACUACAGGCGCAUGCUACCACAUCCAGCUAAUUUUUGUAUUUUUUGUAGAGACAGGGUCUUGCCAUGUUGCCUAGGCUGGUCUCCAACUUCUGGGGUCAAGCAAUCUUCCCACCUUGGCCUCCCAAAGUGCUGGAAUUAUUGGCAUGAGCCACUGUGCCAGGCCUGUAGUGGGAAUCUUAAUUCAUAGUGGGUGGAAGUAUAAAUUAGUAUAACAAUUCUGGAUUAUAAUAACCAUUAUCUGUUGUCAUUAAAUAUCUUUUGUCCUAGAAAUUCCACUUCUGGGAAUUUAUCCUAAAGAAAUAUGUGGGCCAGGCGCGGUGACUCACACCUGUAAUCCUAGCACUUUGGGAGGCCAAGGCAGGCAGAUCAUCUGAGGUCAGGGGUUCGAGACCAGUCUGGCCAACAUGGUGAAACCCCGUCUCUACUAAAAAUACAAAAAUUAGCUGGGCAUGGUGGUGGGUGACCGUAAUCCCAGCUACUCAGGAGGCUGAGGCAGGGAAUUGCUUGAACCCAGGAGGUGGAGGUUGCAGUGAGCCGAGAUGGUGCCACUGCACUCUAGCCUGGGCGAUAGAGCAAGACUCUAUCUCAAAAAAAAAAAAAAAAAAAAAUCAAAUAUCUAGGAAUAAAUCUAGCAAAAUUUGCAAGACCUCUAUACUGAAAACUAUAAAACAUUACUGAGAGAAAUUAAAAAACAUCAAAAGGAGGGAUGGAGGCUGGGCACCAUGGCUCACCCCUGUAAUCCCAGCACUUUAGGAGGCCAAGGUGGGUGGAUUGCUUGAGCCCGGGAGUUUGAGACCAGCCUGAGCAACAUGGGCAAAACCCUGUCUCUAUAAAAAGUACAAAAAAAAAAAAAUUAGCUGAGCACGGUGGCGCAUGCCUGUAAUCCCAGCUACUCAAGGAAGCUGAGGUGGGAGGAUCGCUUAACUCCCGCCGUCAAGGCUGCAGUUAGCUGAGAUCUCACUACUCCACUCCAGCCUGAGUGAUAGAGCAAGACCCUGUCUCACACACACACACAAAAGCUAGCAAUUAUCUAAACAUUCAAAGGUAUGUCAGCCCAAAUGAAGCAGUGCUACUGUCUGCCUGAUAUGCCAGAGGCCAGGAUACGGGGUCCUCUGUCCUUCACUGUGUGACAUUAGGGUGUGGCCCAGGUGGACACAGCCUCCUGUUGUUGGAUGUCCAUGUGCACCCACCAGGUGACCAGCCCUGCUGCUGGGGGCGGGAGUGGCCAGGAGGAUGAGAGGACUGCGUGGAAGAAGUCUCAGCUCUGGUAGGGCAUCAUUUGGGGUCUUAUUGAUUGAUUGAUUUAAAAUUUUGGUAAAAUACACAUAACACAAAAUUUACCAUUUUAACCAUUUUAAAAAUAAUUUUCCUUAAAAAAUAGAGGCAGGGUCUUGCUUUGUCGCUAAAAAAUAAAGACAGGGUCCUGCUUUGUUGCCCAGGCUGGAGUGCAGUGGUACGAUCUUGGCUCACUGCAGCCUCGACCUCCUGGGCUCAAGUGAUUCUCCCACCUCAGCCUCCCAAGUAGCUGGGAUUACAGGUACAGGUGAGGACCACCAUGCUUGGCCCAUUGUAACCAUUUUAUCUUUUUUUUUUUUUUUUUUUUUUUUUUUUUUUUUGAGAUAGAGUCUCACUCUGUUGCCUAGGCUGGAGUGUCGUGGCACUAUCUCGUCUCACUGCAACCUCUGCCUCCUGGGUUCAAGUGAUUCUCCCGCCUCAGGGUCCUCAGUAACUGGGAUUAUAGGCACCCACCAUCAAUACCAUUUGUAUUUUUGUAGAGACAGGGUUUCACCAUGUUGGCCAGGCUGGUCUUGAACUCCUGACCUCCAAAAGUGCUGGGAUUACAGGUGUGAACCACUGCGCCCGGCCUUGUGGAGCACGGCUUUUAAAUAACCAACGCUCGGCCUGACCACCCAGAGAUUUGAUUGGUCUGGCAAGGGCCCCCACGUGGAUCUAGUUUAAGCUCCUCCGGUGGUUCUAACCAGAGUUGAGAACCACGGGACCCGAGCGGGGCUGGGAGAGGAAUGAGGGAGGGACAGUGCUGGCAGGAGUGAGGGGUUGGGGCGAGGCAGGACUCACAAGCGCCUGGGAAGGCGGGGACGGGGUGUAGGGGGCUGGCAAGCACCCCUGCCUCUGUGGCCUCAUUAGUCUCUCAGUAUUGGGAGUCAGCACUCCCUCCUGAUCAGACACCCAUCUUUGUGGCCCCAUGACCUUGGGUCCAGGGUUGCCAGAUUCAGCAAAUUAAAAUACAAGACAAACCUGGGCACAGUGGCUCAUGCCUGUAAUCCUAGCACUUUGGGAGGCUGAGGUGGGCAGAUCACCUUGAGGUCAGGAGUUCAAGACCAGCCUGACCAACAUGGCGAAACCCCAUCUCUACGAAAAAUACAAACAUUAGCUGGGCGUGGUGGUGGAUGUCUGUAGUCCCAGCUACUCUGGAGGCUGAGGCAGGAGAAUCGCCUGAACUCAGGAGGUGGAGGCUGCAGUGAGCCAAGAUCACGCCACUGCACUCCAGCCUGGGUGACAGAGCGAGACUGUCUCAAAAAAUAAUGAUAAAAUAUGAGAUAUCCACAGAUAAUUAAAUUUCAGAUAAACGACAUAUAAUUUUUAGUAUAAGCAUAGCUUAUGUCAUACUGGAGACAUACCAAAGAAAUGGAUUAUUUGAAAUUCACAUUUGACCAAGUGUCCUGUAUCUGAUCUGGCAUCCCUGCUCAGGCCCCAUUCAGACGAAACGUGGCUUUCAUCCUGGACACUGUCCCUAAGAAGGACAGAGGAGGGGGUGCAGGUGAACCAACCCCCCUGCCAUUGCCAGCACCUCCCAGGACCAGCCCCAAAGGCUGAUGGGGGCUGGUUACCUGGCUGCCACCGCUGCCAGGCCCUGCACGCAGCCCUAACAUCCCCCUGGCAGGCUGGAGCCUUCCACAGACCUCUCAGCCGAGUGAGGUCGCGAGGCCGCAGACGCCACUAUGGAUGGUCAGGCGGCCCCUGUGAGCGCAGCUGAAAGACAGAGAGACUGAGGACAGGUGGGACUCGGGUUGCUUUGGGGGAUCUGAAGGCCAGAGGUCGCUCCACAGCUGGUUUGAGCUGCUGCGAGCAGGGCGAGGCCAGAGGGACGAGUAGGUGCCACUGCUGCCUCCUCCCCGGGAGCCUCCCAGGUAGCACCAGGUUUCACCCCUAGAGCUUUGUCUGUGAGCGAAGGUGAACCUGAGCUCAAAAGCCUUCCCGAAGGAAGAAGGAAGUGGCACCUGCACCUCAGGGCCCUACCCUGCUCACUGCAUGGACCCCUGGAGUCCAAGGGGUGGAGAGGCCCAGCCCUGGGGAGCCCAGCACCCUGGGACAGAAGAAGAGGGGUGCAGCCUGCAGCCUGUGAUGGCCAACAGUGAGCCCCAGGCUCAGGGUCACCUCCAGGGAGGGGUCCAGAAAAACACCAGGGCCUCUGGAGCCUGGCCAUAGGGGAAGACCCUGCAGCCAACACCCAGGCUGGCCCAGGGCAGUGGCACUUCUUCCGAGAAGGCCUCUGCGGUUGCCGUCUCUCUCGACCCUUGUCUCACCCAAGGCUGUGGGCAGGAGAGGCCCUGGGGCUGCCCACUCGCCUGGGGGCGGCGCCUGCACCCUCCCUGCCCCUCAUGACCUCGCCCCUCCUGUGCUGUCACCUCCAUCUACAGGUGGGGUGCUGAGGCCCAGAGAAGUAGCCUCCCAUGGGGGGUCCCAGUGCCAGGAAGGGUGCCCAGGUCUGCCGAUUCCCCAGGCCGUGGCUCAGCAUCACCACUGCCUGCCCGCAGCACCUUCAAGAUGCUUCCUGCUUCUCCUGGGCCAUCACUGGUACCUGGGGGAGCUGGGUUUUGUCCCUGGGACCUGUCCUGGGCCAUUCUUAGUUACCUGUUUUUUCUUUUCUUUUUUGUUUUGUUUUGUUUUGUUUUGGAGACAGUCUCGCUUUGUCACCCAGGAUUGAGUGCAGUGGCUCGAUCUCGGCUCACUGCAACCUACGCCUCCCGGGUUCAAGCGGUUCUCCUGCCUCAGCCUCCCGACUAGCUGGGUGGGAUUACAGGCGUCUGCCAACAUGCCUGGCUAAUUUAUUUUUUAUUUUUAGUAGAGAUGGGGUUUCACCAUGUUGGCCAGGCUAGUCUCAAAGUCCUGACCUCAAGUGAUCCGCCCACCUUGGCCUCCCAAAGUGUUGGGAUUACAGGCGUGAGCCACCGUGCCUGGCCACAUCUCUUUUUUCUACAGCAUGAGCCAGUCCUGCCCCAGGAGACAGCUUCUUGGAGUCUCGUGGAGUCUCCCCAGUCCCCCUCCCCAGAGUAGCUCAGGCCUUAAGGCCACUGUCCUUCCUGCCAGCAUCCCUUCUCCCUCCCCUGCC